GGGAGAUGAAAGUAUUUCAGUUUAGGACUCCAGGGAAGAAAUGGGGAUGCUAUGGCAUCUCUGCAUAUAAUGUUAAAGAUGCAGAGGGGAUAUUUGCUCUUCUUGUCUGUGGAGGAUGCCGGGAUUCAGAAGUGAUGCUGAGUCCUUUGGAAAGAGUCCUGUCAGGGGGAAAAAAAAGAAAGAAAGAAAAGUGCUAUGAACUUAAUUAUCAUGGAAAUUCCAUGAAAGAUGAUUUGCAGAAACUUACAACUGGACCCAAUACAGGGAUCAAAAAAAUCAUGCUUUAUACACUGCCUGGAAAGAAGAGCAGGUAUCUGCCUGUUAGCUCUGUCAAACAUCAGAAACCAUAACCAAAUGGACUCUGUAUAUAAACAAG
rnacentral:lncRNA from 1 species